UGGUUCGCCCCGUCAGCCAGGCGGGACGCGUCGUAAGAGGGAACCCGGUGGGAAUCCGGGACUGCCCCGCAGCGGUGAGCGGGAACGACCGCCGUCAUACGCACUGGGACCGGGGAACGCGACGGUCCUGGGAAGCGACGGCCAGUAGGUGCCCGUCGGCAGAGCAGGAGAGCCGGCAGGCGUGCCCGUGAGUCCGAAGACCUGCCA
rnacentral:ncRNA from 1 species